GUAGCGCGUCGGUUCAUUUCGCAUACAACGAAAACAGCAAAAGCACCAUUUAUUUUUCCGCCGUCAGUAAUGUCAGUUAACAGUUUUACUUUUAGCCGUCUGGCGUUUGCGCGAUUUCCUCCAUCUCAAGACUAAAAUAUAACCGUCCACCGUGUCAAUAACUGUUUUAUUUUUUGCAUGUAUAAUCUACAUUUUACUGAUUACUGAUUACUGAUCAGUAUUCAAAAGCUUCAGAAUACCUAAAAUGUGGUCGAUCAUACAUUUCUCGACAGAUAAUACUGUUGAGGUAGUCCCAAGUCAUUGGCUAACAAAAGAUAGUCUACAAUGCGCUUGGCCUAAAACCAAUAAAAAAAGUUAUAUACUUAGAGCAGUUAUCAAUAAAAUUAAACCUAACAAAACAGACUUCAAUUAUUUUGAUGCCCGGUGUCUGGCUAAAAAUAUCGGAAAAGUUGCCCGAGUUAGUACAAAAAGCGGCCGAAAAAUGUUCACAAUUAGAAAGCCUGUAGAGUAAUAAUGAGAAUUCUAGUAAAUCUAAUAUAACUGAUAUAGAACAGUUGCCUCAGUUAGUACAAAAAGUGGCUGAAUUAUGUUCACAAUUAGAUGGCCUGCAGGUUAAUGGGAAUUCUAGUGAAUCUAAUACAACUGAUAUAAAAAUAGGAAGAAGAUAAAUAUAUAGAACAAAUGUGGACAUUUUAAAAGAUAUACUUUAUAAUUUUAUUAAAUAAAUGUAUAUUAGGAAAAGUUUCCUGAGUUUUUAAAAGAAGCAGUUCAGGAAUGUUCAAACCCAGAAGAUAUUCAGGGUAACGAGGAACCAAUUGAGUCUAAUAUAACUGACAAGGUAUGCACCUAAUUAAAAUUCAACAAUAUAGUUUGUAUUUAAAUAAAAACAUUUUUUUUUUUAUUAUGCAUAUUUCUAAUUCU